CUUGGGGUGAGGGAGGAAUCCUCAAGGUUUCCAUGGUGCUCAUGGGGUGGGGGGUGUCCCCUUGGGGGGUCUCUGGACACCCAGGAUCUCCUUGGUGCCUAAAUUUGGGUUCUCCAUGGCGCUCCUUGAGAUCUCCAGGACGUGUUUGAUGCUCUUGGGGUGGGGAAAAUCCUUGAGGUGCUCAUGGUGGGGGGAAAUCCUCGAGGUCUCCAGGUGCUCAGGGGAUGGGGGUGUCCCCUGGGGGGGUCUCUGGACACCCAGGAUGUCCUUGCUGCCUAAAUUUGGGUUCUCCUUGCUCUCCAUGGCGCUCAUCUGGGGCACCUUGAGAUCUCCAGGACGUGUUUGAUGCUCUUGGGGUGGGGGGAAAUCCUCGAGGUGCUCAUGGUGGGGGGAAAUCCUCGAGGUCUCUGUGGUGCUCAGGGGGUGGGGAGUGAACCCUUGGAGGGGUCUCUGGACACUCAGGAUGUCCUUGGUGCCUAAAUUUGGGUUCUCCACGGCACUCCUUGAGAUCUCCAGGACGUGUUUGAUGCUCUUGGGGUGGGGAAAAUCCUUGAGGUGCUCAUGGUGGGAGGAAAUCCUCGAGGUCUCCAUAGUGCUCAGAAGUUGGGGAGUGUCCCCUUGUGGGGGGGUCCCUGGACACUCAGGAUGUCCUUGCUGCCUAAAUUUGGGUUCUCCUUGCUCUCCAUGGCGCUCAUCUGGGGAACCUUGAGAUCUCCAGGACGUGUUUGAUGCUCUUGGGGUGGGGAAAAUCCUCAAGAUGCUCACGGGGGAAUCCUUGAGGUCUCCAUGGUGCUCACGGGGGGCUCAGGAGGUGGGGGUGUCCCCUUGGGGAGGGGUCUCCAGGUGUGAUUCCCUCCAUCCUGAACACCCAGGAUGUCCUUGAUGCCUAAAUUUGGGUUCUCCAUGGCGCUCAUCUGGGGAACCUUGAGAUCUCCAGGACGUGUUUGAUGCUCUUGGGGUGGGGAAAAUCCUCAAGGUGCUCAUGGAGGGGGGAAUCCUUGAGGGGUGAUCACGGGGGGCUCAGGAGGUGGGGGUGUCCCCUUGGGGAGGGGUCUCCAGGUGUGAUUCCCUCCAUCCUGGACACCCAGGAUGUCCUUGCUGCCUAAAUUUGGGUUCUCCACAGCGCUCCUUGAGAUCUCCAGGACGUGUUUGAUGCCCUUGGUUUGGGGAAAAUCCUCGAGGCGCUCACUGGGGGCUCCCUGAGCCUCCCCACCCCCCUCCACACUCACC